rnacentral:lncRNA from 1 species
AAAUAUAUAAACUUGGGACGAUUUACUCCAAAUGUUAUGAUGAAUUAGUGGAAGAAUGCCAGGAAGUUUGAGAAGGGGUUAAGACCGAAAUUGUAUCACAAAGUAGCAAUGUUCACUCUAAUUACCUACUAAACAGUAUUAGAAAAGGCACAGCUGGUAGAGACUUUGCAGAGGGAACAUAUUGAGUACAAUAUAGGGCUUUCUAAUUACAAACAGACGCCACAACAGUUCAACCAGAUAAAG